rnacentral:rRNA from 1 species
GACAGAGGUGCCGAGCGUUAGGCGGAAUCACUGGGCUUAAAGCGUGUGUAGGUGGAUGUCUAAGUACCUUGUGAAAUCCCACGGCUUAACCGUGGAACUGCUUGGUAUACUGGAUGUCUUGAGCCAGCUAGGGGCUACCGGAACAAAUGGUGGAGCGGUGAAAUGCGUAGAUAUCAGGAGGAAUACCGAUGGCGAAGGCAGGUCUCUGGGCUGACACUGACGCUCAUGCACGAAAGCGUGGGGAGCAAACAGG